CCCGGAAAAACCGGGUGCCGAGAGAGGUCUGGGGCGUUGAUUCCGCAGUAUAGAAACCAGCAGUCUUACCCAACUUUCUCGGCGCCGCCAUCUUGAAUCCCCGGCAGACAAAAACCAACUAAAAAUGAUUUUCCCUGCGCUUCGAGCCGUCCGAGUCCGAGGGCCAGCGUUGGUUAGACACAUGGCUACCCCAACUGCAGAGGAGCUUGGGUUAAAGGGAUGGGAAGUGUAUUUUAACGCUUGGACCACUGCUGGGAGAAGAAAUAUUGUCGUGGCCACUUAUGGAAUUUUGUUUGGAGGAUACUUUUUGUACAAAUCAAGGAAAGCCAAACCAGCUUCCCCAGCUCAAUAAACAUGUAUCAUUCAUCAUUUGUUUGAUCUUGUGUUUGCAUAACUUGUUUUAUUACUAGGGUUCUACUCGGUAAUUUGCGAAGAUUUGUGUGACUGGCUACAGAUUUUGUCUGUCAAGAGUUUGUAAAAAUGGUUUAAUAAAUACAACUAAACUUA